UACGAAGGGGGCUAGCGUUGCUCGGAAUGACUGGGCGUAAAGGGCGCGCAGGCGGUCUUGAAAGUCAGGCGUGAAAGCCCCGGGCUUAACCUGGGAAUUGCGCUUGAUACUCUGAGACUGGAGUACGGGAGAGGAGAGUGGAAUUCCCAGUGUAGAGGUGAAAUUCGUAGAUAUUGGGAAGAACACCAGUGGCGAAGGCGGCUCUCUGGACCGUAACUGACGCUGAGGCGCGAAAGCGUGGGGAGCAAACAGG
rnacentral:rRNA from 1 species